AAAAGCAGCCACAUUGUCUUGCGAGUGCCCCAUCCCGUCCGAUCUUGAACGAUAAGCAGGGCUGAGGGUGGUUAGUACUAGGAUGGCAGACCACCUUGGAAGACCAGGGGCCAUUA
rnacentral:rRNA from 12 species